rnacentral:hammerhead_ribozyme from 1 species
ACCCAGCUGAUGAGUCCCAAAUACGACUAAAGGUGCGUCCUGGAU